UUUCCCCCAUCCCUCCGCGAGUCCUCCGGGUGCCUCGCGGUAAAACCAACGAACCCCCGGCGCGGAUCGCGUCAAGGAUUACAAGAGAGGGCGCGGCUCGUGGUUCGUGCGGUACUCCAUGGAGCGCAUCGUGCCACGACCAGCCCCUGCAUGCGCAACAAAUACGACUCUCGGCAACGGAUAUCUAGGCUCUCGCAUCGAUGAAGAACGUAGCGAAAUGCGAUACUUGGUGUGAAUUGCAGAAUCCCGUGAACCAUCGAGUUUUUGAACGCAAGUUGCGCCCGGAGCCGUGAGGCCGAGGGCACGCCUGCCUGGGUGUCAUGUAUACGAUCGUUGCUGCCUCCACGUGCUGGGGCUCCUGCAAGCGGAUGAUGGCUGUCCGUGUAUCGUCGCGGAGGGCUUAAUGUUUGUUAAUGCGGC
rnacentral:misc_RNA from 1 species